AUAAUGCAAAGUAGUCAUUUGACCUGAGGCAUCAUAGUUGUCUUGUGGUUAAGUCCUUGAUCUUUGACUAUGUCAAAGUCACUCCAUCAGAGAGUGUCCACGGCAUAGUUGGGGUUAAGCCACUUAGCCAUGGAGGCAAGUGAAUGCGCAACAAGGGAUCUCUAACCUUCAAACCGUUUGAUAUGAUUAAGAAUCUCUGGCCAGAGUAUGAAUGAGAUUUAGGAAGUCAUUCCAAAUCACAUUCAAGGUAAUCAUAUAAGUAAAUGAAUCACAUUGGAUAGUAGACAUGAAUAAACUAUCAAUCCAAACAAUGUGGUCAAGAGUAUUGUAUUAGAGAAGGACCGUAUUGCAUUGUAAUCCUAAACUGAAUAGGUUCUCCACCUCUUCUGAUUAGCUUGGGUAACCAUGACAUACUGCUAGGUGUCACUCAUGGUUUGUGGAAGCCCUAAACGUAUAUAAUCACUAAAAGGAGAAUUGAAAGUAAGUUUCAAUUCACAAUUGAUUUGAAAGAGUUCUAAUCGCCUACUGCCUCACUAAAAGGAACCUAAUGGAUCGUACACCGUGUAAGGUAAAGAUUGAAGAAACAACGAAGAUGAGUAAGAAUAAUUAAAUGGUUUAAUUAUUUAUGGCAAGGAUUAAUUAAUAUGUUAAUUAAUCAAACGAAUAAAGUUCGUUAAAAGACCUAGGGUUAGUUUUGGGCCUUAAGGCCCAAUGGGCUUCGAAUGUCAAGCCCAUUGACUUAAGUUGUAUGACAACUUAAUGACUAAAUAUUCACAAAGGCCCAAACAACCCA
rnacentral:lncRNA from 1 species